rnacentral:lncRNA from 1 species
AUGAUUGCUUUACACAGGUUUUCUCCAUUCCCCUGUUUUUGUGUAAGGAUCAAGGCAAAGGGAAUGUCAUUACCAUCACAUGGAAAUUUUGCUUUUGUUUUUCUGAUUCCUCGGGUGGUCAAUAGAUUAACAAUUUCCAGGUGGCAUCGUAGAAAUCUACCAUUUGCAUUGAUCUGUAAAUGUCUCCACACAAAAUGAUUUUUAAAUACAACAGAAAAAUAGCUCCUGCACCGUGGUGAACCCAAACCAUGCUUCAAUGAGGUGAUGAAAAUGAACACCUGUGAGGAGGUGCAGCUGGACAUCUCCAGGUGGGCUGACCUCAGAGGGAUACAACAUUGCCACAGGGCAAGCUGACAGCAGAUGCUGAGUCCAGCCUCAGCAGAGAAGCCCCAUGAGUGACCACGGUCUGGAAGGGAACUACUCAAGAACAUCAGGUGCCUUGAGGCAAGAGCAUUGCGGGUUAAAGGAGAGCCACCCUAGCAUGCACCUGUAACCCAGCUGCUGCAGAAGCCUAGUCAACUUAGCAAGGCCCU